AGAGUUUGAUCCUGGCUCAGGACGAACGCUGGCGGCAUGCCUAACACAUGCAAGUCGAACGGAGACAGCAAUGUCUUAGUGGCGAACGGGUGAGUAACGCGUGAGUAACCUGCCUCAGACAACGGGAUACCUGCGAGAAAUUGCAGUUAAUACGGUAUAAGACCACGCCGUCGCAUGACGGAGGGGUAAAAGGGGCAACCCGGUUUGAGAUGGACUCGCGUCGCAUUAGCUGGUUGGUGAGGUAACGGCCCACCAAGGCGACGAUGCGUAGCCGACCUGAGAGGGUAAUCGGCCACAUUGGGACUGAGAUACGGCCCAGACACCUACGGGUGGCAGCAGUGAGGAAUAUUCCGCAAUGGGCGAAAGCCUGACGGAGCAAUGCCGCGUGAACGAAGAAGGUCCUCUGGAUUGUAAAGUUCUUUAGUCAGGGACGAAAAAAAUGACGGUACCUGAAGAAUAAGCCCCGGCUAACUACGUGCCAGCAGCCGCGGU
rnacentral:rRNA from 1 species